UACGUAGGCGGUUGCCUCAGUCAGAUGUGAAAGCCCCGGGCUUAACCUGGGAACAGCAUUUGAUACUGGGUAACUAGAGUUGAGUAGAGGGGAGUGGAAUUUCCGGUGUAGCGGUGAAAUGCGUAGAGAUCGGAAGGAACACCAGUGGCGAAGGCGACUCCCUGGACUCAAACUGACGCUGAGGUACGAAAGCGUGGGUAGCAAACAGGAUUAGAUACCCUGGUAGUCC
rnacentral:rRNA from 1 species